CCAAUAGCGUAUAUUAAAGUUGUUGCAGUUAAAAAGCUCGUAGUUGAAUUUCGGGAUCAGUACGUCGGUCGUGCCUUCGGUAUGUACUGGUGUCACUGGUUCCUCCCUUCUGACGAACCGUCAUGCCAUUCACUUGGUGUGGCGGGAAAUCCGGACUGUUCCUUUGAAAAAAUUAGAGUGUUUAAAGCAGGCUCACGCUUGAAUACAUUAGCAUGGAAUAAUGGAAUAGGACGUUGAUCUUAUUUUGUUGGUUUCUAGGAUUGACGUAAUGAUUAAUAGGGAUAGUUGGGGGCAUUAGUAUUCAAUUGUCAGAGGUGAAAUUCUUGGAUUUAUUGAAGACUAACUACUGCGAAAGCAUUUGCCAAGGAUGUUUUCAUUAAUCAAGAACGAAAGUUAGGGGAUCGAAGACGAUCAGAUACCGUCGUAGUCUUAACCAUAAACUAUGCCGACUAGGGAUCGGAUGAUGUUAAUUUUUUAAUGACUCAUUCGGCGCCUUACG
rnacentral:rRNA from 1 species